rnacentral:rRNA from 1 species
GACGAACGCUGGCGGCGUGGAUUAGGUAUGCAAGUCGAACGGUAUCAUCCUUUCGGGGGUGAGAGAGUGGCGAACUGGUGAGUAACACGUAGGUUAUCUACCCUCAAGACGGGGACAACCCAGGGAAACUUGGGCUAAUACCGGAUGUGAGCAACUUUUAGUUGUUUGAAAGGUGGCGUAAGCUGUCGCUUGGGGAUGAGCCUGCGUCCUAUUAGUUAGUUGGUGAGGUAACGGCUCACCUAGGCAAUGAUAGGUAGGCGGCCUUAACGGGUGGUCGCCCACACUGGGAUUGAGAUACGGCCCAGACUCCUACGGGAGGCAGCAGUCGAGAAUAGUCUACAAUGGUCGGAAGACUGAUAGUGCGACGCCGCGUGAACGAUGAAUCCCUUCGGGGUGUAAAGUUCUUUUAUAUGUGAGCAGUGCUUCUUAUAUUAACAGUAUGGGGAGAGAGAUAUUAGCAUAUGAAUAAGCAACGGCUAACUCCGUGCCAGCAGCCGCGGUAAUCUCGU